rnacentral:lncRNA from 1 species
CAGUGAUUUCUUUUUUUUUCAUUGCUUUAGUCAUGCUGUGUUCCUAUUCCUGUAACGGUGCCUGGCACACAGUAGACAUUCAAUAAAUGUUUGUUAAGUAAGGGAGUAGAUCUCUCUCUGAGGUCUGAAGCUGCCCACAGGCAUGUUCUAUAUGGACUGCCACAAAUAACUGAGUGUUUAAGUGUUCCCAAACUCUUAAAACCUGGCUUUGAAAGACAUUUCCUUUGUGGUGGUCCAUUUCCUAGUGUAUCAGUCAGCUACUGCUAUAUAACAAAUUACCCCAGAGUGUAUCCAUUUAAAACAAUAACUGUGUAUUAUCUCAAAGCUUCUGUGGGCCAGGAAUCCAGAGCUACUUAGCUAAGUGGUUCUGGCUCAGUGUCCCUUGUGAUGUUAUAGUCAAAUUCUUGGCUAGGGCUUUAUCAUCUGAAGGUUUGACUGGGACUGGAGGAACUGCCUCUGAGAUCACUCAUAUAGCUGUUAGCAGGAGGCUGGAUUCAAGUCAGAUUUUGUUUCAUUUUUUUUCUUUUUAGUUUGUUUUACUUUUCAAUAAUUUUAGACAUAAAAUGUUGCAAAAAUAGUACACAGAAUUCCCACCUACCCUUGACCAAUCUUCUUCUAAUUUAAUACUGUUGAUAACCACAGGAAAGUAACAUUGAUACAACACAAUGAACUAAUUUAAGACCUUAUUCAAGGAGUUUCCUGGUGGCCUGGGAUCUGGCAUUGUCACUUCUGUGGAUCAGGUCACUGCUGUGGCAUGGGUUUGCUCUCUGGUCCAGAAGCUUCUGCAAGCUGUGGGCAUAGCCCCCUCCCCAAGACCUUAUCCAAGUUUCCCUGAUUGCCCUAUUGAAGACUAUUUAACUGGACAAUAGAUUUUACUCAAAUUUCACCAAUUUUUCCUCUUAAUGGGAUUAAAUUAUUAAACUAUCAAUCCUACCAUUAUAAUUAUUAACUUAACCCUAUUAAUUAUUAAGAGGCUUCUGGUCCAGGCUCCCUUAAGGCAUUUUGUCUCCUCCAGUCUUCUCUUUCAUAACCUUGACACUUUUUUUUUUUUCUCUUGUUGCCUUUUCUAGGGCUGCUCCCAUAGCAUAUGGAGGUUCCCAGGUUAGGGGUCUAAUUGGAGCUGUAGCCACCGACCUACACCAGAGCCACAGCAACGUGGGAUCCGAGCCGAAUCUGCGACCUACACCACAGCUCACGGCAAUGCCAGAUCCUUAACCCACUGAGCAAGGCCAGGGAGCGAACCUGAAACCUCAUUGUUCCUAGUGGGAUUCGUUAACCACUGCGCCAUGACGGGAACUCCAUAACCCUGACACUUUUGAAAAGCACUAGUCAAAUAUUUUGUAGAAUGUCCCCCAGUUUGGUUUUGUCUGAUGUUUGCUUAUAAUUAGAUUGAAGUUAGGCGUUUGGAGGAAGGAUGCCAUAGAAGUGAUGGGUUCUCAGUGCAUCUUGGGAGGUACUGAUGUCAACGUGUCUCAUCACUGAUGAUGCCAACCUAGACCACUUGGUUACAACGGCACCAGGCACCAGCCAGGAGUCGCCACUGAAAAGUUACCAUUUCCCCCUUUGUAAUUCACUGUAAGUAUCUUCAGGGGAGAUACAAUGUGAUGAUGCACAUACCCUGCUUCUUCUCAAAUGUCUGCCCACUGAUUUUAGCCUAUGAACAGGUCAUGUGGCCAGGCAAACCAAGAGGACAAUCCCUAAUCUAGGUACAGUUGGUGCCCCACCUACAUCCCCUCAGCCCACCCCAGAUAUCCCCUGCUGUCAGUUCCUGAAUCUUAAGUUGAGGGUGUUCUCUGGUCCAGGUGCUAAACUUGCUCAGCAUGUGGGGGAGCCACUGACCUAGGAGGGACCUUCAGGUAUUGAUGGAUAAAGGCAGAGACAACCUGAGGUGUGUUCUACCAGAACACCUUCUGCAUUGCUCUCUCCCUGCUCUAACUUCCCUCCCUGAUCCUAGAGCCCUCUCUUCUCCUACACAAACUAUCAGUCCCCAGAUCUUGUCUCUGGAGCUGUAAAGAGCUAGUGUUCAAGGUGUUCUCAUGAGCUCCAGCUUGGGCUUGAGAUUCAAGGAUGCUUUUUUUUUUCUUCUUUUUAUUGAAGUUUGGUUGAUUUAUAGUGGCAUGUUAAUUUCUGCUGUAUAGCAAAGUGAUUCAGGCAUACAAAUAUAUGCAUUCUUUUUUACAUUAUUUUCCAUUAUGGUUUUUCACAGGAUAUUGAAUAUAAUUCCCUGUGUUAUAUAGUAGGAUCUUGUUGUUUAUCCAUCCUACAUGUAGUAGUUUGCAUCUGCUAAUCCCAAACUCCCAACCCAUCCCUCCCCAAACCCUCUCCCCCUUGGCAACCACAGGUUUGUUCUCUAUGUCUGUGAGUAUGUUUCUGUUUCGUUGAUAGGUUCGUUUGUGCCUUUUUUUCUUUCUCUCUUUCUCGGGCUGCACAUAUGGUGUUUAGAAGUUCCCAGGCUAGAGGUUGCUACAGCUCCUCUUAGAACUACAGCUGCCGGCCUACACCACAGCCAUAGCAACACAGAAUCUGAGCCGUGUCUGUGACCCACACCACGGCUCAUGGCAACGGCAGAUCCUUAACUCACUGAGGGAUCAAACCCGAGACUUAAUGGAUACUAGUCGGGUUUGUUACUGAUGAGCCAAAAUGGGAAUUCCCUGUGUCAUGUUUUAGAUUCCACAUAUAAGUGAUAUCCUAUGGUAUUCGUCUUUCACUUUCUGACUUACUUCACUUAUCACGAGAAUCUCUGAGUUCCUCCAUGUUGCUGCAAGUGGCAUUAUUUCAUUCUUUUUUAUGGCCGAGUAAUAUUCCAUUAUGUAUAUGGACCACAUCUUUAUCUAGUCAUCUAUAAAGGGACAUUUAGGUUGCUUCCAUGUUUUGGCUAUUGUAAAUAGUGCUGCAGUGAACAUUGGGGUACCUGUAUCUUUUUGAAUGAGAGUUUUCUCAAGAGUGGGAUUGCUGGAUCCUAUGGCAACUCUAUUUUUAGUUUUUUGAGGAACCUCUAUACUGUUUUCCAUAGUGGCUCCCCUAGUUUACAUUCCCACCAGCAGUAGGCAGGAUCCCUUUUCUUCACACCCUUUCCAGAAUUGAGGAUGCUUAAAAGGGGGGGGGGAGCUAUAUUAUGAUAUAAUUCGCAGAACUUCCCGCUGUGGCAAAACAGGAUCAGCAGCGUCUCUGCAGUGUCAGACGCAGGUUCGGUCACCAGCCUGGCACAGUAGAUUUAAGGAUCAGGUGUUGCCACAGCAGUGGUUUAGGUAGCAACUGUGGCUUGGAUCUAUCUGACCCCUGGCCCAGGAACUCCAUGUGCCACAGGGCAGCCA